AAGAAACAGUGUGCGACGCAUUAUUACGCAUUGCUUUUCAACGUCGUGUUAUCGCACAAUCAUAUGGGAACAGAAGAAGAAAACUGCUGCUGGCUGCGUUCAGCUCUCCGGGAGGAUGCCUGCACCUCGCACCGUCACGGCUCAAAGGCACAGGUGGACCGCUUCCGAAAUUACCGCAAAAUAGCGUUCGCCCCAAAUGAGAUAAAGCGCUCUGUCGAUGCCACCGAGUGUGACAUUUUGAUGAAACGCCGGAUGUCUCAGGAGCGAAGAGCACUGGACAACAUUGUGAUUGUUCACAGUGGCGGUGAAGAGCAAACAGGUGUUGCGGCUCACUAACAACAUGAGCGGCGCCGGUGUGCUGCUGCGGCCCGGUAACCCGUGACGGUGCGCGCG
ensembl:lncRNA